GAUGAAGAACGUAGCGAAAUGCGAUAAGUAAUGUGAAUUGCAGAAUUCAGUGAAUCAUCGAAUCUUUGAACGCACAUUGCGCCCCUUGGUAUUCCAUGGGGCAUGCCUGUUCGAGCGUCAUUUGUACCUUCAAGCUCUGCUUGGUGUUGGGUGUUUGUCUCGCCUCUGCGUGUAGACUCGCCUCAAAACAAUUGGCAGCCGGCGUAUUGAUUUCGGAGCGCAGUACAUCUCGCGCUUUGCACUCAUAACGACGAUGUCCAAAAGUACAUUUUUACACUCUUGACCUCGGAUCAGGUAGGGAUACCCGCUGAACUUAAGCAUAUCAAUAAGCGGAGGA
rnacentral:misc_RNA from 1 species